UCUACCAUCUCAUGAUCACUGCUUCCCAGAUUGCCACCCACAUCUACUUCCCCUACUAGUUCCUCCCCGAGUAUGAGCAGCAAACAGGGCAGCAACCAACAGGGAGUUUGCCUGGGAAACGUGUGAGAGGAGCUGAGGAUCUCCAGCAGCACAUCAUCUUGUAAGGUGCAGCAUCCUGGAAAAGCCUCUGUAGAAGUACAGCACAAAACAGUCACUUUGGCUUCUUCUUCAAAAACAAGACGAGCUGAUUAAAAUGGAGAGAGACCACUACAGUGCCUGAAGUUUGAAGUUGAGACAAGUGACAUAUGCUGCACUUCUUCAGGACAACAGAAGCAGCAUUGGUUCUUCACAGAGAAGGAGUUUGGAUCAACAUUAUUCUCUGCAAAGGUCAUCAGGCAUAGAGCCUUUCUGGAGCUUUCUGUGAGUGUACCCUGACUGGCUCAUGCGAAGACUUUCAUCUUAUAUCCAUUUGGUUGGGCAUCCUUUGAUCACAGUUUUGGUAUCUUCUCACAGUCAGCACUGAUGGACUGAAACCCCAUGUUUAGUCACAGAAGGGCCAGACCAGCUGUCACAGAGGGGUGAUCCAUACCAGCUGAGGCAACCAUCCAACCCAGGAGAUCCAAAAGCCCUUGAGGGUCCAUAAGGACCUCAUGAGGCAGCUGUCCUGCGUGACAUGCAGUAGACCCUGGUGCAAAAGGUCCAGGAGGACACUGAGUGGCAGACCCACGUGGGACCCACUCAUGCAGCAGGGUAACAACAUGUGUGCCAUCAUGCGUGAAAUGAUGGCACACCCAGCUGCUGUCCUUGCUUCUGCCUCCCACCCUUCUGCCUGCCCCCGCUAUGCCCAUUCCCCUGCCCCCGCUAUGCCCAUUCCCCUGCCCCCAAGUGAUGCCUCUGCUCCCUCCCCAAGUGAUGCCUAUGCCCCCAUCCCCUGCUAUGACUAUGCCCUCUGCCAUCCCUGACCCCAUUCCAGCCCUCCCCCCCGCCCACUCCCCUGUGGUCCCAGGACCCACCCAACCCCAAGUUCACAGAGGUCGCCUGCAACUUCCA